UAUUCCCCAUUUAUAAACCCAUGAUCUUUCACUAAAUUAACCAACGUGGGACUCACUCCCAACAAUCCUCAACAAGCACUUCAUUGAGAUACCCGUGAUAAUAAGGAAUUCAGGUGAAAGUGAUGGAAGGAUAUCUAGUGGUCCAUUUUCCGCAAAAUUCCCAAAAUCUUUUUCGAAGUUGAGAAGUAGCUUUCAGAACUCCAGUAUAGCGAAUCAAGGUGAUGGGAAACUCUACUUUUUGUCAAAGAAGUCGCACCUAACUUGAAGCCAUUUUUCUUCCUAAUUAUGAUGAAAUGAUAUGAUCAAGAGCGAACCCAUCUGAUAAAGCAUCAAUCUGUCUCAGAAAUGGAGGUUGAGAUGCAGGCAGUGUAGUUACUGUGAUGGACUUGAUGAGAGCAUGAUCCAGGCCUGCAGGAGGAGGAGGAGCUUGCAGCUGGUUUUCGUGGCGGAUUUGGGUAAGAUUUUCUUCAUCAUCCAUUUCCAUGGCAGCGUUGGUGGUAGC